UACGUAGGGUGCAAGCGUUGUCCGGAAUUAUUGGGCGUAAAGAGCUCGUAGGCGGUCUGUCGCGUCGGCUGUGAAAUCCCGAGGCUCAACCUCGGGUCUGCAGUCGAUACGGGCAAACUAGAGUAUUGCAGGGGAGACUGGAAUUCCUGGUGUAGCGGUGAAAUGCGCAGAUAUCGGGAGGAACACCGGUGGCGAAGGCGGGUCUCUGGGCCGUAACUGACGCUGAGGAGCGAAAGCGUGGGGAGCGAACAGG
rnacentral:rRNA from 1 species